rnacentral:rRNA from 1 species
GUCCUUUUGGGAUUAAUAUAAGGUCUAGCCUGCCCACUGAAUAUUUUAAAUGGCCGCAGUAUAUUGACUGUGCGAAGGUAGCAUAAUCAUUAGUUUUUUAAUUAAAAGCUUGUAUGAAAGGUUGGACGAGGUAAGUUCUGUCUCUAUUUAAUUUAAAUUAGAAUUUAAUUUUUAAGUUAAAAAGCUUAAAUAAGAGUAAAAGACGAGAAGACCCUAUAGAUCUUGAUAAUUAAUAAAUAAAUAUUAAUUAGGAUUUUUUAUUAUUUUUAUUUUAUAAUUAUUUUAUUGGGGUAAUAGAAAGAUUAAUAUAAUUCUUUUUUUUAAUUAACAUAGAUUAAUGAUUAUUUGAUCCAUUUUUAUUGAUUAUAAGAUUAAGUUACCUUAGGGAUAACAGCGUAAUUUUUUUAGAGAGUUCAUAUCGAUAAAAAAGUUUGCGACCUCGAUGUUGGAUUAAAAAUUAUUCUGGGUGAAGAAGUUCAGAAUUUUGGUCUGUUCGACCAUUAAAUUUUU